GACGAACGCUGGCGGCGUGCUUAACGCAUGCAAGUCGAACGGAAAGGCCCUGCUUUUGUGGGGUGCUCGAGUGGCGAACGGGUGAGUAACACGUGAGUAACCUGCCCUUGACUUUGGGAUAACUUCAGGAAACUGGGGCUAAUACCGGAUAGGAGCUCCUGCUGCAUGGUGGGGGUUGGAAAGUUUCGGCGGUUGGGGAUGGACUCGCGGCUUAUCAGCUUGUUGGUGGGGUAGUGGCUUACCAAGGCUUUGACGGGUAGCCGGCCUGAGAGGGUGACCGGCCACAUUAGGACUGAGAUACGGCCCAGACUCCUACGGGAGGCAGCAGUGGGGAAUAUUGCACAAUGGGCGGAAGCCUGAUGCAGCAACGCCGCGUGCGGGAUGACGGCCUUCGGGUUGUAAACCGCUUUCGCCUGUGACGAAGCGUGAGUGACGGUAAUGGGUAAAGAAGCACCGGCUAACUACGUG
rnacentral:rRNA from 1 species